UUGAUGAAUUGUGGUCUCCCAAGA
rnacentral:piRNA from 1 species